rnacentral:tRNA from 1 species
GCCCCGGUGGUGAAACCGGUAGACACACAGCCUUGAGGUGGCUGUGCCCGUCAGGGCGUGCACGUUCGAAUCGUGCUCGGGGCA